rnacentral:rRNA from 1 species
UACGGAGGAUCCAAGCGUUAUCCGGAUUUAUUGGGUUUAAAGGGUGCGUAGGCGGCCUGUUAAGUCAGGGGUGAAAGACGGUAGCUCAACUAUCGCAGUGCCCUUGAUACUGAUGGGCUUGAAUGGACUAGAGGUAGGCGGAAUGAGACAAGUAGCGGUGAAAUGCAUAGAUAUGUCUCAGAACACCGAUUGCGAAGGCAGCUCACUAAGCUGGUAUUGACGCUGAUGCACGAAAGCGUGGGGAUCGAACAGG